GGACUACUGGGGUUUCUAAUCCUGUUUGCUACCCACGCUUUCGUGCCUCAGCGUCAGUCGUGGUCCAGUAAGCUGUCUACACCACAGGUGUUCCUCCUGAUAUCUACGCAUUUCACCGCUACACCAGGAAUUCCGCUUACCUCUCCCACACUCUAGCACUCCAGUUUCCGCCGCACCCUCCCAGUUGAGCCGGGAGAUUUCACAACAGACUUAGAGCACCGCCUACGCACUCUUUACGCCCAGUAAUUCCGAACAACGCUCGCUGCCUACGUAUUACCGCGGCGGCUGGCAC
rnacentral:rRNA from 1 species